rnacentral:rRNA from 1 species
CAGUCGCCACGGUAAUACAGAGGGUGCGAGCGUUAAUCGGAUUUACUGGGCGUAAAGCGUGCGUAGGCGGCUUUUUAAGUCGGAUGUGAAAUCCCUGAGCUUAACUUAGGAAUUGCAUUCGAUACUGGGAAGAUAGAGUAUGGGAGAGGAUGGUAGAAUUCCAGGUGUAGCGGUGAAAUGCGUAGAGAUCUGGAGGAAUACCGAUGGCGAAGGCAGCCAUCUGGCCUAAUACUGACGCUGAGGUACGAAAGCAUGGGGAGCAAACAGGAUUAGAGACCCCCGUAGUCCCUGUCUCUUAUAC